CGGGUGCGUAACACGUAAAGAACCUGUCCUGAAGAGGGGGAUAGCCCUGGGAAACUGGGGGUAAUACCGCAUAAUAUAUCAUUGUCGCAUGACAGAGAUAGGAAAGGGUGGAAACACUCACUUCAGGAGGGCUUUGCGGCCUAUCAGGUAGUUGGUGGGGUAAAGGCCUACCAAGCCGAAGACGGGUAGCUGGUCUGAGAGGAUGGUCAGCCACACUGGGACUGAGAUACGGCCCAG
rnacentral:rRNA from 1 species